GCACUGGCGGUUCAGUGGCAGAAUUCCCGCCUUCCAUGUGGGAGACCUGGGUUUGAUUCCCAGCCAGUGUG
rnacentral:tRNA from 1 species